rnacentral:rRNA from 1 species
UUUGCAUCGAUGAAGAACGCAGCGAAAUGCGAUACUUGGUGUGAAUUGCAGAAUCCCGUGAACCAUCGAGUCUUUGAACGCAAGUUGCGCCCCAAGCCUUAGGGCCGAGGGCACGUCUGCCUGGGUGUCACGCAUCGUAGCCC